CACGUAGUUAGCCGUGGCUUCCUCGUAAGAUACCAUCACUUAAUGAUCAUUUCCUAUCAUUACCGUUUUUCUCUUACAACAGAGCUUUACGACCCGAAGGCCUUCUUCACUCACGCGGCAUUGCUCGUUCAGGGUUUCCCCCAUUGACGAAAAUUCCCUACUGCUGCCUCUCGUAGGAGUUUGGGCCGUGUCUCAGUCCCAAUGUGGCCGUCUACCCUCUCAGGCCGGCUACGUAUCAUCGCUUUGGUGGGCCGUUACCCCGCCAACUGGCUAAUACGCCGCAGGUCCAUCCAUGUCCGCACCCGAAGGUCCUUUAAUAUAGUCAAGAUGCCUUGUCUAUACCUAUCCGGUUUUAGCAGACGUUUCCAUCUGUUAUCCCGGGUACAUGGGCAGGUUCCCUACGUGUUACUCACCCGUUCGCCACUAAGUCUUUUAAAAAGCAAGCUUUCAAAAGACUUCGUUCGACUUGCAUGUAUUAGGCAUGCCGCCAGCGUUUCAUUCCCUGACGCAGGAUCAAAACUCU
rnacentral:rRNA from 1 species